AUUUGGUCACAAACCAAAGUGUUGAUGCUGAUGAUGGCGCUAUGAAAAGUCAGAGGAUCAACAAAGUUAUUACAGUUCAUCCUGAGGGGAACUCGUGUGACCCAAAUUUCAGGGCUCCAUCUAGUAGUUUUCAAGUCCUUUCACACAAAACCUCAUGGGUCUUUUUGUUUGAUCUUUUUGUUUAUACAAGUGUCCUGUUGUCCUCAAGUGAGUGAUUUGUAUUUUGCUUUGUCUUCUUCGUUUGGAUAGCAGCUGCGAAUGAGCUCAGCAGAGUCUCAUUUUCAUGUUUCAGGAGCAGGAAACCUUUCUGCGGCUGCCUUCAGUGUCUGGUUGUUGAUCUGGACCAGUUACAUCAACACGAACGAUCACAACAGGUCAUGGAUUAGGCCGAUGGACUCAAAGAGGAACUGUUGUUUGAUGAUGAAGAGGUCAGAUGACGUCGAAUCUGUGUUGAGUGAUUAGAUCACUGAAAAAUCCUGCACUUUGAUCAGAUGACCUGCAUCAAAGCCUCCUCGUCCUGCAGCGCUUCGGAUCAGCUGCUCAGCAGAUUGUCUUCAUGUCAACACGGCUUAGUCUUCUGCAGCACGCCACAUUUAACCCUCUGUUAACCCCGUCCGCUGCGGCUGCCGCAGGCCUGAAAUCAGACUCAUAAACACGCCAACAGUAUCUUCAGGAAAAUAUGUAUAGAAACAGUUUCCGUUGUAAUAUUCUCUGCUGCAUGUUUGUGAAUUUUAGAGUUUAGAAAGUUGCUUCUCUUCGAUAUUUUGCAUUUGAGACUUGUGCAUUGAUGUUUACAUUCAAGUCAGAAAUGAGUCAGUUUUUGUCAAAUGGAUGGUUGCAUUAGUUCAGGUGGAGCACUGAAGUUGUGUCAACUGGCAUCAGCUUCUUCGUGCACGCUGCACCAUCAGUGGCUCUUUCACAGGCUAUUCCAGAAAUCUCCAAAUUCUACAUAUAAGGCUUGUUAUGAAAACAGCACUCAUUUCUGCAACCUAAUAAAUUGAAUUAAUAAAUAAAAUGAAUGAAAGUUAAAGUACUCAUUCUGCAGUAAAAUGUCUCCUGUGACUGAUUCUGUCUGACAUUAUUAGAUUAUUAAUACUGAAGCAUCAACGUUA